UCCGUCACCUCCGUCAGUUCCGUCACCUCCGUCACCUCCGUCAGUUCCUUGUCAACUCUGUCACUUAUUGCUAUCCCACUUAAGACAUAUACAGUAUAUAUACAGUAUAUGUAUAUGCAUAUAUAUAUAUUAUAUUUUAUAUUCUGAAACAAUAUGUUAAUAAUAGUCCUGCAAAAUAUGCUUAAACUAUUGAACUGUUUGCUGUGCUGUGAAAAUCAGGAUAAACCUAACUUUACAAAUCUUGUUUAAUUUUCUUAAUCUAGAAAAACAUUCCAAAAAAUGCUAAUGAAAUGAACCCUGGAGAAUUAUACAAUGGUAUAAAACCAAACACAAAAAAAGACAUUGAGAUCUGUAUUAAACAAGCUACAAUGUUAAACAAGCUACAAUGUUAGAAGGAAACAAAGCCAUUAAACAAGCUACAAUGUUAGAAGGAAACAAGGCCAUUAAACACUCGUCGGACAGUAAAAACAUAAGGCCUUUCAUGUCUGAAGGAGUUUUACUAUGAAAAAAAGGUCAUCAUUAGGAGGUUGUUCCUUUACAAAGGUGUGAUAGCUAAUACUUUGGUUUAUUAUUAAAAUAUAUAUUUAAAAUGUUGUUAUUAUGAAGAAAAAAAAUAUUUGGGCUAAAAGGUUUUUUGAUUGUUCCGUCUUUCGAGAAACCCUGAUUUACAUGUAUGAGGAAUUUGACCUGGUGAAAUGGUCUAGGGUGUAGGGGCGAGGGUGUAGGGGCGAGGGGUGUAGGGGAGGGGGUGCAGGGGCGAGGGUGUAGGGGCGAGGGUGUAGGGGCGAGGGUGUAGGGGAGAGGGUGUAGGGGCGAGGGUGUAGGGGCGAGGGUGCAGGGGCUAGGGUGCAGGGGCGAGGGUGCAGGGGCGAGGGUGUAGGGGAGAGGGUGUAGGGGAGAGGGUGUAGGGGCUAGGGUGUAGGGGCGAGGGUGUAGGGGCUAGGGUGUAGGGCUAGGGUGUAGGCGCUAGGGUGUAGGGGC
ensembl:lncRNA